GAACUGCGAUAAGUAAUGUGAAUUGCAGAAUUCAGUGAAUCAUCGAGUCUUUGAACGCACAUUGCGCCCCCUGGCAUUCCGGGGGGCAUGCCUGUCCGAGCGUCAUUGCUGCCCUUCAAGCCCCCGGGCUUGUGUUGGGGACCUGCGGCUGCCCGCAGGCCCUGAAAACCAGUGGCGGGCUCGCUGUCACACCGAGCGUAGUAGCAAUCACCUCGCUCAGGGCGUGCUGCGGGUUCCGGCCGUUAAACAGCCUUACAAAACCCAAGGUUGACCUCGGAUCAGGUAGGAAGACCCGCUGAACUUAAGC
rnacentral:misc_RNA from 1 species